rnacentral:lncRNA from 1 species
GCCUGUCUUGUGCCUUUCUUUCAGCUUCUCCCCAUGUCAUUCCCAUGAUUCUUAGUUCGCUCUCUAUUGUACGUCGCCAUGUUUCUUUCGGUCUCCCUCUCUUUCUUUUCCCCUCUGCUGGUGUCCAACGAAGAGCUAUCCUUGUGAUGUCAUGUUUGUCUUUUCGUAGAACAUGGCCUAUCCAUUUCCAUCGCCUUUCUUUAAUUUCUGUUCUGAUGUCUCGUUGUAAGGUUAGGGUGUAUAGUUCUUUAUUACUGAUGGUUUUUGGCCAGAAGAUCUUGCAAAUUUUCCGAAGACAUGUAUUGUGAAAAGAUGACAGUUUGUUG